rnacentral:rRNA from 1 species
UGCGAACUCCUACGGGAGGCAGCAGUGGGGAAUUUUGGAAAAUGGGGGCAACCCUGAUCCAGCAAUGCCGCGUGAGUGAAGAAGGCCUUCGGGUUGUAAAGCUCUUUUGUCAGGGAAGAAACGGUAGUAGCUAAUAUCUAUUACUAAUGACGGUAACUGAAGAAUAAGCACCGGCUAACUACGUGACAGCAGCCGCGGUAAUACGUAGGGUGCAAGCGUUAAUCGGAAUUACUGGGCGUAAAGCGUGCGCAGGCGGUUGUGUAAGUCAGAUGUGAAAUCCCCGGGCUCAACCUGGGAAUUGCAUUUGAGGCUGCACGGCUAGUGUGUGUCAGAGGGGGGUAGAAUUCCACGCGUAGCAGUGAAAUGCGUAGAUAUGUGGAGGAAUACAGAUGGCGAAGGCAGCCCCCUGGGAUAACACUGACGCUCAUGCACAAAAGCGUGGGGAGCAAACAGGAUUAGAAACCCGAGUAGUCCAGAUG